rnacentral:lncRNA from 1 species
CCCUGGGUUGCUGCUCUUCGGGCUCGGGCUUCGCAGGCGUCGUCUCCGCUUCCAAAUGUCCGUCGUCUCUGCUCAAGUGAAGCACUAGAUCAUGCGCACCGUCGACCAACCGAUCAGUCGGUAGUCUCCUCGAGUUCCCAAUGUUCGAAUCUAAUCCUAAAUCAUUCGCCCCUUGGCAAAUUAAGUCCCUGCUGUUGGAUCAUGUCGCUGCUGCUUUGGUUAGGCAGCAAUUUGGAAACUCUGUUGCGUAUGUUAUAGGCACGCACAUGCUCUGUCUGUCGUACUUGCAUGGCUCGCAAUUGAAGUGCAUUAAUCUAGAAUUUGCAGAAAAAAUAUAGAGACUUCAUACUUGCUUGGCUCACUAAGCAUAGAUUUAAUUGACCGCAUAUGAGUAGCCCAUUCCAUGAUUUCUAAUAUACUUUGUGAGAGACUGUUCUAGGACUCGGCCCUCCUAGCUAGCUUGCCUAGUUAGGGUCUGUAUCUUAUGUAUUACUAGUGCUUUUAGUACUCUGCCGAUGUAUCUCCCAUUGUGGUCUUUCCUUGUUUGCAUAUUUGCACUGUUUCAUCUGUAUUAGUUGCCUGCCGUGCCUUUGCAAACUCGUGGUUUUCAUGUGCCAAUGGCUGUUACAGGUUGCACUUUGAUACAUAUGCGAGUGUUUUAUUUACUUUACUAGGUAAUUAAUAUUAUUUUCAUGAGCUCUGGCUAUGAAAUGCCGUUUUAAGUUGACGUUCAUUUUAUUGUCAUGAAAAUGUUUCUCCUUUCGCCUUGGGUAUCUGAACUCAAUUGGCGUCAGGAUUCAGUGCAAUCCUGGUUAGCUACUGCAAGUUGUUAGCUCACCUGGUUUGAUGACAUAUGGGCUCUAGGUAAAGAGCUGACACAAAAGGACCAAUGAGAGUGUCAAGUUCUGGUGGCCAAAAUCCCCGCCCCCAGUUACCUUAUCUUUCAGAAUGGAUUUGUUUGACAUGUUUAGGUGAUGUAUGCUCAGUGUGGUGCUCUACCCAGAGUUGGAAGAUCAGUGUGCUGGAAACUUAUACAAACCAAUCCUUCUAAGAUUUAGAUGUAUCUCGUUCAAUAUAUAAUUUUGUCUCGGCCUUAUUUUGUUCCGCUAUUUAAUUUACAGGGCGAGCUUGAAAAAGUUCUUCUUUUAAAAAACAACAUUGAAGCUGCUAAAGACGUGGAUCUUUCCUCCAGUGCAGACUUGUUAGCUAAACAUAUUCAGCAAACUGAGGAAACGAUCAGGUAAAUAAGGGUUUACAGAUUAUUCUAGUUUGAUUCAGCUUGCAUGCAUGAUGUUCAAUUAAGUAGCAUGUGAUUGAAUAUUCCCUGCUCGAAUCUGGGAAGUUAAAUAUAAAAUGGUCUCAUGUUGUUUCUUUAUUCAUUUUUGAAGCCACUUUUCCGAAAGGCACGGGCAAGUUGCUCAAAGGAUAUAUAAAAAUUCACUGAAGUUUUUCUGCGCUGCUGUCGUGUUUGGUAGCGUUGAUCAUUUGAUAUCAAAGUACUGGUUUGAUGGACAUGAUGCUGAGCUUCUGGGGGGUCAAGUUGAAGUUGCAGACGAAUGACCGCAGUCGGCUUAUCUCAUGAUAAAAUAUGGGCUUGUCAGCUCUGUGCUAAGUUACCCUCUAUGAUGUGUGUUAUAUGUAUUAUGUGCUCCAGUCUUGUCAGCUCUAUGCUAAGUUACCUUCUAUUAUAUGUGUUAUAUGUAUUAUGUUCUCCAGUCUGUCAAAGUCUGUCAAAGCAGUAUCUCUAUGAUAUGUAUUGUGUUGUCCAACCGUGUCUACGAUAUGACAUUUGCAUGCACUUCUUCGGUUGUUUUGUAAGUGUACUCAUGAUCUAAGAACAUAUAUGGACUGAACUGUGCCUAUGAUAUAAUCAUAAACAAAAAAUCUUGGUUGCAUA